rnacentral:rRNA from 1 species
AAUAUUGGUCAAUGGGGGCAACCCUGAUCCAGCCAUGCCGCGUGUGUGAAGAAGGUCUGCGGAUUGUAAAGCACUUUAAGUUGGGAGGAAGGGCUUUAGGUUAAUACCCUGAAGUAUUGACGUUACCAACAGAAUAAGCACCGGCUAACUCUGUGCCAGCAGCCGCGGUAAUACAGAGGGUGCAAGCGUUAAUCGGCAUUACUGGGCGUAAAGCGCGCGUAGGUGGUUCAGUAAGAUGGGUGUGAAAUCCCCGGGCUUAACCUGGGAACUGCUUUCAUAACUGCUGCACUAGAGUACGGUAGAGGGUAGUGGAAUUUCCUGUGUAGCGGUGAAAUGAGUAGAUAUAGGAAGGAGCACCAGUGGCGAAGGCGACUACCUGGACUGAUACUGACACUGAGGUGCGAAAGCGUGGGGAGCAAAC